AAUACUCAAUAAAUAAAAGAUACGGGAAUGUUCUUUAAUCAAAAGUUCCGGCGCCUUAGGGUGGAUCGGCGGCCAAUUAGGUUGUUGUUGGAAUAACGCCCCAACAAGCCCGUAAUCGGUACGGGUGGUGGAAGCAACACCCAGAAGAUGGAAUCUAAAACACUAUUCCAGGCCCUACGGGGCGCAGCAGGCAAAAAAACUUUACAAUGCAGAAAAUUGUGAUAAGGCAACCCCGAGUGCCCUUAUACGCGGGCUGUCCUGUUGUUAAAAAUGCACAAAAAAAAAGGGCCGGGAAAGACCGGUGCCAGCCGCCGCGGUAAUACCGGCGGCUCGGGUGGUGACCAUUUUUAUUGGGCUUAAAGCGUUCGUAGCUGGAUUCUUAAUUCUCUGGGAAAAUCUGCAGGCUUAACCUGCAGGCGUUCAAAAAAUACUGGAAUUCAAGGAACCGGAAGAGGAAAGAGGUACUUCAGGGGAAGAAAUGAAAUUCUGUAUUCCUUGAGGAACCACCGAUGGCGAAGGCUUCUUACAAGAACGGCUUCAACAGUGAGGCACGAAAGCUGGGGGAGCGAACGGAAUUAAAUACCCCGGUAGUCCCAGCCGUAAACGAUGCUCGUUAGGUGUACUGAUGACCACAAGUCACCGGGCUGCCGAAGGAAAACCAUGAAACCUGCCGCCUGGGAAGUACGGUCGCAAGGAUGAAACUCAAAGGAAUUGACGCAA
rnacentral:rRNA from 1 species